rnacentral:misc_RNA from 1 species
GCAUCCUGGGAGCUGUUCUGAUUGGUUUGUUACCGGUGGUUGGCUCUCUGCUUUUGCAACAACUUCCACCUGGCAUUCCUCUUCAGUUUUGCGUCAAGGUUGCAUUUCCUUGAGCGCUUUUGGUUUCCUGUGUUGCCUACCUACGUGACGGUAUCGUUUGAUUACAUCAAAGUCGUGUUUCAUCAUGUGUCAAUUGUAUGGCGUAGGAUGAACCUCAAAGCAGCUUUUAUGAUCCACCUUGUUGGUGCACAUGCAUCGAUUUUGUGGCUUAUUGAGUUUUGCUUGGUUUUCUAGAUACAGAACAUGAUAUGGGUGUGGGUCUCUCUGUGAUCCUUGUUUUGCCCUUGUUGAGCGUUGUUAUUACUCUGAGACAACUGCCUAGCUCGAGUUGGCUUGUACCACCGGUGUAGGUUAUGGUGUUGAAGAGCAAUACUAGCGUUCUUGCUUCUCUAAAACAGACGGCCUCGCCUGUAUUGGCUCGUACCAGCGGGUGGGCUAUGUCGAAGAGGGAUGCUACCUGGUUGAUCCUGCCAGUAGUCAUAUGCUUGUCUCAA